CCUCUCCACCCCCUCUCAAAAAUAAACAUUAAGAAAAAAUUCACAAGACUAAACACUGGUCAAAAAAAUAAAUUAGCCAGCACACCCCCGGUCUCAAACAUGGAUUCACAUCUUGACUGUUGUCCUCGCCCAAAUGCCCCGUUUGCGUGGGGAAGUUACCCGGUGAAGCCAGGAGCACCAAGGACACCUCACGAGCGCUUGACCCUGCAGCGUCUAAGUUAGGCAGGAAAGCGUGUGGAUCUUCAAAAAUAACCUGGCAUAAAACAGAAUCACGCUCUUCAUCAGACGUGCUCACUUGACCCAGCCGCACGGAAUUUAACACUGUGUUUGCGACCGAAGAAGCAAAAUCAGUGGACACGCGGUCACGCAGACACGCUGACCCGUGACGUGCCUCGGAGACGCACCAGCUGUUAAAAACCUGCUUCGGAUUGCUGAAUCCACAGCGUGUUCCCUAGUUGUCCAGUUAGUUUGGGCACCCAGAAGCCAUUUCAUCGGUGAGAAGCACCGCUGACCGUGGGGGCCUGCAAGUCGGGUCUGGCCCGGGGACGCCGUGGCCGCGUGAAGGCCGGGAGUGGGCCCUGCUCGACUUCACGCUGAGGUGCGCUGACUCGCAGAGGACUCCCCUCAGCAAAAGCAAGCGAGCUCACGACUGAAGAGGAGGAAGUCGUGUGGAUGAUCUUACCUUCCAUUCUUGCGCAGGCCGGUUAUUGGCUGGAAAAUGGAGCAUCUGAACGAGUGUCGCAAAGAAUCGUGAGACCAAGUGAAAAUACGCUGGCGUGUGGCGACCGAACGUCGGCUUUGCGGCAGAGUCUAAGUUGGGAAGAGUGAAAAUAAAGGAUUUUGUAACGUGGUUGGUCAGUGUUCAUUUGAGUCCUAAAUGAAAAUCAAUGAGAGCUAAUGGACAACACUGAAA